AUGAUUGUUGAAGAUGAACGACAUACAUAUGGAGGUAAUUUUGAUUACUCUUAUGAUAAUGUGGAUAACAAUCACUCAACAACUGAAACAUUUAGCGGUCCUCAUCCGAAUCUUGCAACAAGACUACAAAGAAGAGCAAAUAUUCGUGAAAAACAAGUUCAUCGUCAACUUCAAGGAGAUCUAGUCGAGUAUAUUUGGGAACGUUUUGGACAUGAAAAUGAUGAAAUUUAA
rnacentral:lncRNA from 1 species